AUGCUCACUUUGGUAGCACAAAUACUAAAAUUAGAACGAUACAGAGAAGAUUAGCAAUGGUCCCUGCACAAGGAUGACAUGCAAAUUAAUGAAGUGUUUCAUACUUAA